AUAGAUUAAGAGUGAUUAAGUUUUGAAGAUUCAUAAACACAAAGAAAAACUAAAGGAUAAAAGAAUCCUUUGGACAAAUCCCAAAGUGAUCUAUUUAUAGUAAAAUGUUGAAACCCUAGAUUCACUAGAGGACAAGAGACUUGAGGCGGUUUGGGCGAAUGCUCGAUCUUGGGGAUCGAGUAAUGAGGGUGCUGCAAAGUCUGCUCCUUUGUGUCUAUGCUCCGAGUGAUCAAUUGAUCGAGUAGAUGCUUCUUCCUCUCCUAUCCGUAUGCUCAGAUGUCUGGUUGAGUGGGGAAUGAGGAGGAUCCAAAGACGCUUUGAUAGAUCAACAAGUCUUGUAGAGUUGGUCACCCUUGGUCGAGUAAAUGGGUCGAGUAGAGGAUCGAGUAGAAGGGUCGAGUAGAUCAAUCUGCUUCUUCUUCUAAGGCUGUCUUGAUCGAGUAAGAGGGUCGAGUGAAUUGCUGCCUCCUCUGUGGCUGCUUGGAUCGAGUGAAUGGAUUGAGUAGAAUGCUCUGCUGCUUCCCUCCUUGUUGGAUAGAGUAUAGGGUCGAGUAGAGCCCUUUUGAGCUCCUUCUGACCCUGAAAACACACCAAAACAUGCAAUGCGUAUGCGAGAUGAUCCUAAAUGCCUAGGUGUGCAAAAUAAGCUAAAAUAGUGCAAAAUGAUAUGAUACAAUGAGCAAAUACGAAGCUAAAUGAUGAUAAAUACACACCUAAAAUGAGUAAAAUACAGUGUUAUCAAUCUUCUAACAAGGAAACACUACUUAGGCUUUUAAGAUGUGGUUGCGGUUUAGGUUCUUAUACUCAAUCAUACACAUGACAUCAAGUCAUAUUUGACUCCAAAACACUAACCAAGCUUCUUCUUGCUUCUCAAAUCUUUGAUGGUGUAGCCGUAAACCAUAUGAGUCUUUGUCUUUGUAUCUUCUAACAAGGAUACAAUACUUGGGCUUUUAAGAUCGGGUUGCGGUUCUAUUUCUUAUACCCAAUGAUACCCAUGACAUCAAGUCAUAUUUAACUCCAAAACACUAACCAAGUUUCUUCUUGCAUCUCAAACAAAACUUUGAUGGUGUAGCUGAAAUCUGUAUGAGUCUUUGGCUUUGCAUCUUUUAACAAGGAAACACUACUUAGGCUUUUAAGAUCCAGUUGCAGUUUAAGUUCUUAUACUCAAUCAUACACAUGACAUCUAGUCAUAUUUGACUCCUAGAAACUAAGCAAACUUCUUCUUGCUUCUCAAAGCUUUGAUGGUGUAGUCACAGUCCGUAUGAGUCUUUGUCUUUGUAUCUUCUAACAAAGAUAAAAUACUGGGAUGGGAUUGAAAGUAGGGUCGCAGCUUCCAAGCCGACAUUAGGACUGCUAAAGCGAGUUUUUCCAUUUGCGGGUAGCGAGAUUCCGCGCCGGUGAAAGUCUGCGUGACGUAAAAGAUUGGUUUUUGCUCACCUCUGUCUUCUCGGAUUAACACUCCGCUAACUGCAAUAUAUGAUACGGCAACAUACAAAUACAGUGGUUCUCCGACGGGUUUUGCGAGGAUGGGUGGUGUUGCCAGAUACUUCUUGAGCUCCUGAAAAGCAUCUUCGCACCGGGUCGUCCAUUCAAACUUCUUAUU
rnacentral:sRNA from 1 species